rnacentral:rRNA from 1 species
UUGUCGUCAGCUCGUGUCGUGAGAUGUUGGUAAUCCGCAACGAGCGCAACCCCUACUCGUUAGUUGCCAGCAUUCAGUUGGGCACUCUAGCGAGACUGCCGGUAAUAAACCGGAGGAAGGUGGGGAUGACGUCAAAUCAUCAUGCCCCUUAUGACCUGGGCUACACACGUGCUACAAUGGUUGGUACAACGAGUUGCGAGUCGGUGACGGCGAGCUAAUCUCUUAAAGCCAAUCUCAGUUCGGAUUGUAGGCUGCAACCCGCCUACAUGAAGUCGGAAUCGCUAGUAAUCGCGGAUCAGCACGCCGCGGUGAAUACGUUCCCGGGCCUU